GUCUCUGUGGCGCAAUCGGUUAGCGCGUUCAGCUGUUAACCGGAAGGUUGGUGGUUCCGAGCCCACCCAGGGACG